GGGGGUGUAGCUCAGUGGUAGAGUGCGUGCUUAGCAUGCACGAGGCCCUGGGUUCGAUCCCCAGCACCUCCA
rnacentral:tRNA from 2 species